AUCUAAUUGUUUUUCAAAAACAUAUUUAUCUAUUAGGUUCUUAAAAAUAUAAUAAUAAAAUGCAAAAAUAUUUAAAACAAAUAUUAAGGGGAUUGGAAGCGACAAGUUUCUGUCUUUGUCUUACAUACGUGAGUUAUAUGGAUUUAUACAUAUUUUAUUUCAAACGUACCGAUUGAUCUAGUGAAGUGAUAAGAAGUCUGAAAGCGAAUUUAAAAUUGCCGUGAAGUCUACUUGAGAUCGACUUUCCACUUUUUUAAUUUUUGAUUUUUGAUUUUAAUUUCUCAACAAAUUAAAAUAUUCUAUUUUUUUCAAUAUUACUCUUUUGUUUGUGUGGCUUUUUUUUAAAAUUUAAGGAGGUUAAUUUAAAAAAUGGGAAAGUCGAUCUCAAUAGACUUUACGACAAAUUCAAAUCUGCUUUCAGAAUUUUAAUGGCUUCACUAGAUCAAUAGAUACGUUGGAAAUAAAACAUGUUUAAAUACGUAUAUCUCACGUGUGUAAGAAAAAGACAGAAACUCGUCGCUUCCAAUCCCCUUUAAUUAAAGGCGGUCUAUUUUAUCAACA